rnacentral:rRNA from 1 species
AGGACGAACGCUGGCGGCGUGCUUAACACAUGCAAGUCGAGCGGAAAGGCCCUUCGGGGUACUCGAGCGGCGAACGGGUGAGCAACACGUGGGCAACCUGCCCCUAGCUCUGGGAUAACUCCGGGAAACCGGUGCUAAUACCGGAUACGACCUCAUUGGGCAUUCUUUGAGGUGGAAAGAUUUAUUGGCUAGGGAUGGGCCCGCGGCCUAUCAGCUUGUUGGUGGGGUAACGGCCUACCAAGGCGACGACGGGUA